rnacentral:rRNA from 1 species
UGGUACGGCCAUAUCACGUUGAAAGCACUGGUUCUCAUCAGAUCACCGAAGUUAAGCAACAUCGAGCCUAGUUAGUACUUAGAUGGGUGACCGCUUGGGAAACCUAGGUGCUGUAAGCA